UAUUUCAGUUGUCCAUCACAUUAUAAGGUAGAGUUUCAUUUAUUUCAGUUGUCCAUCACAUUAUAAGGUAGAGAUUCAUUUAUUUCAGUUGUCCAUCACAUUAUAAGGUAGAGUUUCAUUUAUUUCAGUUGUCCAUCACAUUAUAAGGUAGAGUUUCAUUUAUUUCAGUUGUCCAUCACAUUAUAAGGUAGAGUUUCAUUUAUUUCAGUUGUCCAUCACAUUAUAAGGUAGAGAUUCAUUUAUUUCAGUUGUCCAUCACAUUAUAAGGUAGAGUUUAAUUGGUAAAUUAUUGCUUUCAGACAACAGGGGAUCUUAGGAGUUUAUCUUUGCGGUCAAUAGUUAGACAAGCCUAAGACGUCAUAAUUUUAUAAGACGUUUGUGAGGGAAACGUCGUAGAAGAGAAGCGUCUUAGGUUUGUCUAAAUUAUUGAUUGGAAAAAUAAAAUUCCUAAGAAUC
rnacentral:lncRNA from 1 species